ACUGUAUGUGUGAGAUUGGUGAGAUCACUCAUUAAAGAUGGAAGUGAGAGGCUGUGUGUUGUGUUUGCUUGUGGGAUGCCUUCUAGUGUCUGUGGCUGGAGCCCUGCAGUGUCGGGCUGUGCCUGGCAGUCUGAAGCAGA